rnacentral:rRNA from 1 species
GUCGAGCGAACCGAUUAAGAGCUUGCUCUUAAGAAGUUAGCGGCGGACGGGUGAGUAACACGUAGGUAACCUGCCUAUAAGACUGGGAUAACUCCGGGAAACCGGGGCUAAUACCGGAUAACAUUUUGCACCGCAUGGUGCGAAAUUGAAAGGCGGCUUCGGCUGUCACUUAUAGAUGGACCUGCGGCGCAUUAGCUAGUUGGUGAGGUAACGGCUCACCAAGGCGACGAUGCGUAGCCGACCUGAGAGGGUGAUCGGCCACACUGGGACUGAGACACGGCCCAGACUCCUACGGGAGGCAGCAGUAGGGAAUCUUCCGCAAUGGACGAAAGUCUGACGGAGCAACGCCGCGUGAGCGAUGAAGGCCUUCGGGUCGUAAAGCUCUGUUGUUAGGGAAGAACAAGUGCUAGUUGAAUAAGCUGGCACCUUGACGGUACCUAACCAGAAAGCCACGGCUAACUACGUGCCAGCAGCCGCGGUAAUACGUAGGUGGCAAGCGUUAUCCGGAAUUAUUGGGCGUAAAGCGCGCGCAGGUGGUUUCUUAAGUCUGAUGUGAAAGCCCACGGCUCAACCGUGGAGGGUCAUUGGAAACUGGGAGACUUGAGUGCAGAAGAGGAAAGUGGAAUUCCAUGUGUAGCGGUGAAAUGCGUA